UGGAAUGACGAAGAGCAUUCAACCGUUCAUAUUGAAUUUAAAAUACGCAUAAAGCAUAACACCUAUAAGUUAGAUCAUCGGACGGAUAUAAAGUUAUCUCAUCAUAAAUUCAAUUGUUACGGGCUGAAGUCAACAAUUACAUGUAUGGUACAAUAGCUGCAAGUUUCAAUAAUUUAGAGGUAAAUUCAUCACCAUGUCAAAUCAGCGCGCUGAUCAUCACCAUGACUCACGACAAAUGGUUCCACAAUCGGCUCGAAGUAAAUCAUCGUCAAAUAGUUCAACACAUAAAGGUUUCACCUUUGACCCAAUGAAAAACAUGCAUUUGUGGACAAUGUGGAGAAUAGGAAACACAGAAAAAAUUGUGAAUUUCACAAAACACAGAGAAUCUGAAGUUUAUUUACAAAACGAAUUUCAACACGGAAUCUUUUCUGGAGUACCGUAUGGAAGUCCUACUUUACUUGUACCACCUCUUGCCAGCAAUAUAUCCGUUACCGAAGCAACAAAACGGAAAGCAACUGAGAUGAUGCAUUCAAAUACAAAUGAAGGAGGGAGUGAAUUGAAAGCAGGACAAUUUAUUUAUUUUGGACUACCACGAGUUGCUCUGAAAAAUGGUAAAUCUCAAAUGUCACCGUAAUUCGAUUUUGAACGAAACAGAUUAAUAUGUUACCUUCAAAUUGUUAUUUUAAAUGAUGCAAAUUGUUACUUAAAAUGACGCAUAUUGUUACUUUUUAAUGAUGAAAAUUGUAAUUACUAUAUUUUGUGUUACUCACAGAUUAAACUGUAAUUAUUAUCAUUUGUUGCAUGAAAUCGUCAUUCUUAAUCCUUAUACAUAAUACAUGGUAUAUUAACUUCUUUCUACAUAGAUAUAAAAAUGUAUUAGAAAUAUAUAAUAACUUAUAUCAUAUCUUUUAUCUUGGUAAAAAUGCUGAAAUGGAUAAGUGUUUUUGUUUCAUUUCUUUUGAUCUCAUUUCAUCGAGUUUGUAAUAAAGACAUUGCUCAUACGA